GACGAACGCUGGCGGCGUGCCUAAUACAUGCAAGUCGAGCGAAGUUUUUCUGGUGCUUGCACCGGAAAAACUUAGCGGCGAACGGGUGAGUAACACGUAAAGAACCUGCCUUAUAGACUGGGACAACUAUUGGAAACGAUAGCUAAUACCGGAUAACAGCAUUAGCUGCAUGGUUGAUGUUUGAAAGUUGGUUUUGCUAACACUAUGAGAUGGCUUUGCGGUGCAUUAGCUAGUUGGUGGGGUAAAGGCCUACCAAGGCGACGAUGCAUAGCCGACCUGAGAGGGUGAUCGGCCACACUGGGACUGAGACACGGCCCAGACUCCUACGGGAGGCAGCAGUAGGGAAUCUUCCGCAAUGGGCGAAAGCCUGACGGAGCAACGCCGCGUGAGUGAAGAAGGAUUUCGGUUCGUAAAGCUCUGUUGUUAGGGAAGAAUGAUUGUGUAGUAACUAUACACAGUAGAGACGGUACCUAACCAGAAAGCCACGGCUAACUACGUG
rnacentral:rRNA from 1 species